rnacentral:rRNA from 1 species
GACAGAGGGUGCAAACGUUGUUCGGAAUUACUGGGCGUAAAGCGUGUGUAGGCGGUUUCGCAAGUCGGAUGUGAAAGCCCCGGGCUCAACCCGGGAAGUGCACUCGAUACUGCGGAACUUGAGUGUGGGAGAGGUUGGUGGAAUUCUCGGUGUAGAGGUGAAAUUCGUAGAUAUCGAGAGGAACACCGGCGGCGAAGGCGGCCAACUGGACCACUACUGACGCUGAGACACGAAAGCGUGGGGAGCAAACAGG